GUGAACGCUGGCGGCGUGCCUAACACAUGCAAGUCGAACGAUGAUAGAGAGCUUGCUCUCUUGAUUAGUGGCGCACGGGUGAGUAUACCAUCGAUAAUGUACCUCUUAGUUCAGGAUAGCCACUGGAAACGGUGAUUAAUACCGGAUACUCCUUCUUACUCUAAGGUAAGUCGGGAAAGUUUUUUCGCUAAGAGAUCAGUCUAUGUCCUAUCAGCUAGUUGGUGAGGUAAUGGCUCACCAAGCCUAUGACGGAUAUCUGGUUUGAGAGGAUGAUCAGACACACUGGAACUGAGACACGGUCCAGACUCCUACGGGAGGCAGCAGUGAGGAAUAUUGCACAAUGGAGGAAACUCUGAUGCAGCAACGCCGCGUGGAGGAUGACGCAUUUCGGUGUGUAAACUCCUUUUAUUAGGGAAGAUAAUGACGGUACCUAAUGAAUAAGCACCGGCUAACUCCGU
rnacentral:rRNA from 1 species